AAAGGAGUAUGUGCUAGUCUUAAAUGCCAAAUGUAAUUCAUAUCAGUGGUAACAACAUUAUUACAAAUGGAAUUAUUUACUAUUGGAAGCAAGCCAACAUUUUUGCUGUCAGACACAGUGUCAUCAUUACAAAAAUCAGACAAAGCACACAGAAGCAGAAGGAAAAUCAGGAGAGGAAGAGGGGGAAGAAGGCACCCAAGACAGUUUGUAUAAGCCAGCUUCCUCUUUACCAAGAUCCAGAGGCCUCUUCAGAGAAGGUCCUGUAUCAUGUGAAGUAAACAGGAAGUGGGAGUGAACAAAACUAUACAGUGCAACUGUUUUAUCAACUUGUGAACAGAAAUCAAGUUGUGUUUAAAGGAAGGAACCAGAAGCACAUUGUGAAGAGUAUAAGCCAGCUUCCUCUUUACCAAGAUCCAGAGGCCUCUUCAGAGAAGGGUCCUGUAUCAUGUGAAGUGAACAGGAAGUUGGAGUGAACAAAACUACACAAUGCAACUGUUUUAUCAACGUGUGAACAGAAAUCAAGUUGUGUUUAAAGGAAGGAACCAGAAGCACAUUGUAAAGAGUAAGGGAAGAAGUUAAUGUAAAAGAACCUGUACAAGUUACUUUUACUUUGUAACCAUUAGGCAGAGUUACAAGAUAAGGAACAGUCAAAGGUAUGAUGUUAAAAAGUAGGUUUUUAUCAUGUGUCAUAUGAUUAGAUGCCCCUGAAUCAAUGAUCAAGGUGACAGAAUUAAUAUGUGUAAGCAUGCAUAAUUUGGAAUCAGAAACAAGACUCUCAGUCAACAUUGUACCAGCAAAAUUAGCAGCACACAUGAAAGGAGGAGUUUGAUCAUAAACAAGACUCUCAGUCAACAUAGUACCAGCACAAUUAGCAGCACACAUGGGAGGAGGAGCUUGAGCACUGGAAUCCCCUAACUUGGUCUGUUGUAAUAAGCUCAUCAACUGAUCAUACUGGUGUCUGCUCAACCCUGGUAUCACAGAGCUGUGACCAUCUAUGUGUGUAACAUGUUGAUGGCUGGCAGGAGGAUCCCCAAAAGGAACAGACAAAUUAGGAUUUCCAUGAUUAACAUACACACAUUCCUCACCAGUGGAGAUAUGAGCAGCUGCAGAUUUUCUUCCCUUGUUGUAGUUUAUGUUUUGAGGAAACCCAUGGAUCUUGUAGCACUUAUCAAUUAAGUGCCCUUUAGGAUUUCCAUGAUUAACAGACACACAUUCCUCACCAUUGGAGACAUGAGCAGCUGCAGAUUUCCUUCCCUUGUUGUAGUUUAUGUUUUGAGGAAACCCAUGGAUCUUGUAGCACUUAUCAAUUAAGUGCCCAGAUUUCUUGCAGUAUCUGCAAAAUAAGGGUCCUCUGCUUUGCUUAAUAUUAACUAUGGGUCUGAAAAUAGGGGGUCUAGGCACUGUGGCCUGAUUAAACCCAGCUGAGUGCUUGUUUGCAUGAGCAUUAAAAGACAUAGAGUCUGGACUGAUUUGAGAAAUGGAUUGAACUUGUCUUUGUUUCUCAUCAUUAAGCACUAUGUUGUAAACACUGUCAAGGGAAGGAAAUGGCUGCAUCAUCAACAGAUUACUCCUAACCCCAUUAAGCACUAUGUUAUAAACACUGUCAAGGGAAGAAAAUGGAUGCAUCAUCAACAAAUUACUCCUAACCCCCAUGUAUGCUUCAUUUAACCCCAUAAGAAACUGGAAUACCUUGUUUUUAUCAUCUUCCUCAAUUAUUCCAUUUUUAGCAGCACACACACAUCUCUGCCCAUGAUUUGUGCACAUUGUGCCCAAUUCAUCCCACAAGCCUUUGAGCUUGUUAAAGUAUGAGGCUACGUCUAAGCAGCCUUGAGAUGUGUGGGAAAGUUCCCUCUUUAAUUCAAAGAUUUUGGUCUUAUUAGGGGUACCAUAUCUUUGCUCAAUUUGGGACCAUAUACUAUGUGCAAUGUCGGAAUACUGCACACUAUCAGCAAUCUGAGGAGACAAGGAGGAGGUCAACCAGGAAAUGACCAUGUUAUUACAUCUAUCCCAUAGUCUCUGUUGAGCCACAUUAGUUGUAGGUCGAGGACAUGAACCGUCAACAAAACCGAUUUUAUUUUUAGCAGAUAAAGCAACAAUCAUCUUACGCCUCCAACCCCCAUAACCACAACCCGAGAAGGGAGUGGGAACAAGAGAGACCCCAGGGACAUCAGAGGAAUAUACAAAAAGGGGGCUAGUAGAGUCUACCGAGGAGGAGGUACCAGCAUUCGUGUUAGAAGCCAUAAUCAAUAAACUGCCUUAAAAAAAUAGUUUCAACAAGCAGAGUAUAACCAAGCCAGAUAUUCACGAACCAGCUUAAAAAAAAAUUUCAACAAGGAGAGUAUAACCAAACCAGAUAUUCACACACAAAACCAGAUACUCAUAUACAGAGCAGAUAAUCACACACAAAACAUACAAUACACAAGAUAAGGACAGAGUUACCCUUCUUCUUCGCGACCGGAGAAGAUCGGCCUUCGAUCAACAGAGAAAACCCUAGGUACAAAACCCUAGGUGUAACCGUCGAAAUCUUUACUGGAAAUAUGGUCAAGGAUGUCGGAAAGUCACCCAAAACAUCCACUGAGCGAGGAUCGAGCCACCGGAUAGCAGUUAAACCUUAGGUUCAACCACCAGAAACCCUAGAAGCUGAUAAGUCACCGAAAAAUCACCCAAAAAUCAUCAGAAAAUCUCCCAGAACGUUCAAGUGAAGAAGAUAUACUCAGAUAUCACGAUGAAAAUCUCGGAAAAGCAACCGAUGUAGAUCGGAAUCGUCAUUGACCACAUACGUCAGAAACACCCCCAAAAAUCUCAAAGGAUACUUCAACCAAGACAACAAGAUGCAGAAAAACAUAGUCGGAUCGUCGUCUAGGCUCUGAUACCAUGAAAACUUUGAGAUUAAACCGAAGAAUCAUGGCAUGGUUGAACCCGUUAAACAUAGACUCCAUCUACAUGAAAACUUUAAGAUUAAACUGAAGAAUCAUGAAGAAUGUAGUGAGAGAAUUUAGAGAGAAGGAGGAACGUCUGAGAGAACUCUCUAGAAGAGAGAGAGUUUAUUAAUCAGAAAAUGAAACAAAAU
rnacentral:lncRNA from 1 species